AUAUAGACAUGGUGCUGGAGACGUAGUUGAGAGUUCUGCAUUUAGAUCCACAGGCAGCAGGAAGAGAGAGUCUCUGAGCUUGGCAUAUGCUUUUCAAACCUCAAAGCCCUCCCCUAUUGACACACUUCUUCCAACCAGACCAUAUGUUACGUCUUAAUCCUUCUCAAAUAGUGCCUUUUUCAAAUGACAAAGCAUUGAAAUAUAUGAGCCUAUGGGGCCAUUCUUAUUCAAACCACCACAGUUAUAUUUGAGGGAUAGCUGAGUUACUAUAUGAGAAAUGUUCAUUUGACAUUUUGACACAGAUUUAAAAGAUGCUUCCUUUUAUUAUGAUUUAGAAAUGCUGAAUUAGGUAUAUCCUCUUCAGUUUUAGUGUCAUGGGGACAAUUUUGCCCAGAUUCGGUCAGUGUCAUAGAAUUAAUUUUUCUCUGCUUUUUGCAUGGCUAGCAAUAUAGCCCCCACUUCGAGUUGGCACACAUUCACUUUGAUUUCAGAGACAGACAGACAGACACACAGACAGAGCCUUUUCAGUACCACUUUCAGGUGUAAACUGAUCUAGCUUUUCAUCAUGACACCAGGUCAAAGUUCCCUGUGUACUCUUAUGAUGACAGAAGGGCUUAAUGGAGUGUUCAAUCCAGGCCAGACUAAAGUUAUAAAAAUCUGUAGGUAACAGGACACAGAAGAUUGUCCCUUCUUAUUUCUAUGUCUGUGUUAUGUGGGGCUGGUUGGGUACUGAUGCCUAUCAUUAUAAUAGAGAGUUCUUGGCUACUUCCACAAAUCUUUAAUAAACACCACCUUGCCCUUUCCUUUAAAAACAAAACAAAACUUUGCCAAUGAAUUGAGAGUAAACUUGAUAAUUUGGAGCAUAUAACCAUGUUGUUUGGAAGCUGUCUGACUGUUUCCAUUGUUGCAGCCUGAUUGUCCAUGGUUUAAUCAUCAGUAGUUGUGAAGGAAGGCAGGGGGAGAAGGGGGGCAGUGCUGCAGGCUGCAUAGUACCAUAAAAAAUUUCCACCUGGAAGCAAUUUUUCCUAAAAGCCCUUAGGGACUGCUGUCACCCUCCCCCUUCAACUGGCAGUAAGGACUAGAAACACCAGCUCCUCUUGGAACCAGCCUUUGUUGCUCCCAGCUUCCAGAAGGGCUAGAGGAGAGCUAGGGAAAUAACAAAUUAUUCCCAGACAUUCUUCUAUAAGAAAUUCCCUUGAGCCUUCUUUCUUCUUUUCCUCUGGUUCUUUCUGUAUUAAUAUUUAGCUGAAGUACAGGUUAUUUGCAGUAAUAGGACUCAAAUUUACUUCUUAGUAAGAGUGUUUAUUAUCAUCCCUAGUGCCUGUUCUCGUAGAAAGUUGAACCGUCUUUGGGUUCUGCCAUAGGCCCUGUGUCACUUUAUAAUGCCUUCUCUGUGGAAUGUAGGCAUUGAUCCGGGUGUGAACUCUCUCAAGGAACUCAUGGUCCUGUGGGAGUGAAACACAUGUAAAUAAAUUGUAUGUAUGUGGUGCCUUUCAAAGAUAAUGAACAAAUAAAAAUUUUCAAGCAAACCAAUGUUAACCCUCUACCAGUGAAAUGUCCUUAAUGGUGCUCAUUCAUUCUUAGGCCUGUUUUCCAGUGUGACUGGAGGAUAGAAUGAGGGGUUUGGGAAAAUGGAAGGAUAAUACUUUUGAUGGAAUUUACUCCCAACUACACAUGGUUUCCUAGGGUCAAGGUCAGUUCAGAUUUUUAUUGUCAAUAUGAGGGUUAAGUGGGAAAUGGUGAUACCAUGCCUGUGAAGAAAUAACUCACUCUGUAUCUCUCCAAAUGAAGAGUAACCAGGUGUUUCAACAGAUUUUGUAGUUUAUUCCUUUAAAACCAGACUAUUAUUACAUUUAUUUAUACAUGUCUGUAUGUGUGUUGCAUGGUGGCGGUCAGGGGACAACUUGCCAGAUUUGAUUCUUUCCUUCUAUUAUGUGAGUCCCAGGAAUGGAAUUCAGAUUGUAAGGCUUAGCAGCAGGUAAGUACCUUUACCUUCUGAGUCAUCUUGCUGGCCCUACCUAUUUGCUUUUGGUAGUGAUUUUGUAAUUUCUUCAGUUUUGGGAUUAAAUGUUUAAGUUUUUGUUUUGGUUUAAAUCUUUGCUAUUUCUUUAAAUAUAUCACUUAUUUUUAGUUUACACAUAUCAGUUUUAAGCCUGGGUAAAUAAUUUUUUAUUAUUUUUAAGCUUUGUUGUUGGUUUUUUUUAAAAAACUAUCCAUGUUCUAAGAUUUGUUUUUUGAUACUUAAAUUCUACUUUAAAGAACUAUUACUUCUCAGAAGUCUUAGAACUAUGAAUUAAACUAUAUUUCUCUAGAGAAGAUUUAUGUUCAUUCAGUCAGUUAUAUCUGGACAUUGGGAAGGACAUUGCUUCUAAAAUAAAUAACAAUUAUUAUUUGUGAGAUGAUAUUUUGCUAUGUUCCCCAGGCAUGGUUUGAACUUGAACUCAAGCAAUUGAUCCUUCUACUUCUGACUUCCUUAGUGCUGGGAUAAAAGAUGCACCUCCAUACCUGGCCCUAAAAUGAAGAAUUUGACAUUUUUUGACUGUACAGAUAUUAAUAGUACCACUGUGAGACUUAUUCUUUUGUUUAAAAUGACUAGAAGCUUUUCUUUCUCCUGCAACCAGAAUCAAUACCAGAGGAGGGAGGUCUCCUUGCAGGCUCCCUUUACCCUUCACUGAGGUAUCUUGGUUUUAGUUAUUUUGAGGUCCUCUCGUUUGUCUCUUUGAUUUCUGUUCCUUUUUACUCCAGUCACUGGAGAUGGUUUUUAUUUUCUUUACUGCAGAGUCAUGCACUAAUGGUCUAGAACCUUAGUUUAGAUUUUUAAGAUUUACUACCGGAAGUGUUUUUCAUAGCAUGUCUAAUGCUUUGCAUUGCUCGUGGGGAGCACCAUCUUAUUUUGCUACUUUGUUUUUGAUUACAUUUUUUUGAAUGGAAACAACUCUAUUAUCCUUUAUUGGUGCCUCAGGGUUUUCAGUGCUAGGGACUUAAUUUUGGAGUAUUAAAUUGCUCUGGUUGGUUGGAUUCACUGUGGAGAUUAGGCUGGCCUUGAACUUGCAGUGAUCCUCCUACUUAGAAUGUUGGAUUUACAGGUAUAUACUACUGUGCUCAUUCAUUCAUUCUUUUUAAAAAUUAGUUAAUUUUAAUUUCUUUAGAGACAGGAUCUCAUUGUAUCCUAGGAUGACUUACUGUGUAGCUCAGGAUUUUAGUCAUGCACCUUCCUUAGGCAUUCUUUUUGUUUUUCUCAUGUCAAAUGGGUAAUGUACCCAACUUCAUAACAAGGUUUGAGGGUAGUAUGUGUCACACAAUGAUGCAAAUACUUAAUCAUCUUACUUAUGAACUAAAAAAAGAUCCCGCCUCAAGUACUCUUAUUUCUAAUCUUAUAAUUAGUAACAUUCAUGAUUCAGC
rnacentral:lncRNA from 1 species